GAACGAGACAGACCGAGGAGGUAUAGACCGCUCGCGAGUCCCGGGCAAUAACGUUGGAUGCUAGCGUCGGCGGCGACGUCGAGAGCGAAGGUAUAUACACCGACCAUGAGCGGCUACCUCGGGGACUUGAGCGAGCGUCAGCAGGAGGCCCUCGAAAAGUUUCGUCAUGCUGUGAAAGAUGUCAGGAAGCCUUCGCACACGGACGCAUUCUUGCUGCGCUGGCUGCGAGCGCGGGACUUCGACGUGGCCAAGGCGGAAAUCAUGUACCGAAAGG